rnacentral:lncRNA from 1 species
AUAUCUUCACAUUCUUGCUGACACAUUAUACUGUCCAAAUUUUAAUUUGAGGCUUCAGGUGGGUGUGUGGUGAUGAUUGUGGUGUAAAUUUACUCAGCCUUUUCUUUUCUGUAAUUCUGUCCCUCGUCAAGAUUUGUGUGUGGGGGACAGGGUAGGAGGGAGCCCGGGAUUCCUACGUCAUCCUACGUGAAAAUGUUUGUGGGGCACUGAUAUCAUUUAUUUCUUUUACUUUACUUGGUAUUUCAAGUGCACUGUCCAGUAGUGUGGCCAGGACACAGAGUCAUUUCUCAAGGACCCCACGGAGUCUAAAUAUUAGACUCUAAAUAUUAGGUCUUCUUGUUUCCCUUUGAAAUAGCUUCUUUUAUCCAUCUGAUAAAACAACCCUGAGUACUCUUUUUAAAAACAAUAAUUAAGAUAUAAUUGACAUAUUAUAUUAGUUUCAGGUGUACAACAUAAUGAUUCAAUAUUUGUAUAUAUUGAGAACUGAUCCCACUAAGUCUAAUAAAUAUCCAUCGCCACAUAUACUUACAAAUGGAUUAAUUUUGAAAUGUGUAUACAUCCAUGAAACCAUGACUACAGUCAAGAUAAUGAACAAAUCCAUCACCCCCAAAGCCUUUGUAAUCCCUCCCACCUCCCAGCCUCCUCCCCCUCUGCCUCCAGACAACCACUGAUCUGCUUUCUGGGACCAUAAAUUAGUCUGCAAUUUCUAGAAAUGUAUAUAAAUGUAAUCAAACAGUAUGUUUUCUUUUCUCUCUUGUUUCUUCCACUCAGCAUAAUUACUUUGAGAUUCAUCUAUGUUGUUUCAUGUAUCAGUUCAAUCCAAUAUAUAGCUGAGUAGUAUUCCAUUAUAUGGAUGUAUUAUAAUUCAUUUAUCCUUUAUCCUGUCAACAGACAUUUGAGUUGUUCCAGUUUGGGGCUAUUAUGAAUAAAGCUGCUACAAACAUUUCUGUGAGAGUAUCUGAAUGAGUCUAAGUUUUUAUUUCUCUUUGGUAAAUACCUAGGUGUAAAAUUGUUAGGAAGUAAGAUAGUUGUAUGUUUGACUUUAGGAUGAAUUGACAAGCUGUUUUCCAAUUUUUAAAACUGUUUUAUAUUCCCACUAUUAAUUUAUGACUGCUCCAUUGACCCCACAUCUUUAUCAUCCUUCUUAUUAUCAGACUUUUGAAUUUUAGCCAUUCCC